CCUACGGGUGGCAGCAGUGAGGAAUAUUGGUCAAUGGACGAGAGUCUGAACCAGCCAAGUAGCGUGAAGGAUGACUGCCCUAUGGGUUGUAAACUUCUUUUAUAUGGGAAUAAAAUGUUCCACGUGUGGGAUUUUGUAUGUACCAUAUGAAUAAGGAUCGGCUAACUCCGUGCCAGCAGCCGCGGUAAUACGGAGGGUCCGAUCGUUAUCCGGAUUUAUUGGGUUUAAAGGGAGCGUAGGUGGAUUGUUAAGUCAGUUGUGAAAGGCUGGGGCUCAACCGUAAAAAUGCAGUUGAAACUGGCAGACUUGAGUACAGUAGAGGUGGGCGGAAUUCGUGGUGUAGCGGUGAAAUGCUUAGAUAUCACGAAGAACUCCGAUUGCGAAGGCAGUUCACUGGACUGCAACUGACACUGAGGCUCGAAAGUGUGGGUAUCAAACAGGAUUAGAUACCCUUGUAGUC
rnacentral:rRNA from 1 species